GUAGGUGAACCUGCGGAAGGAUCAUUAACAACUAAAUCUUUGGCUUAUCAUGAAAGGGUUUUAUUUCCCUGGAUUGAUCUGCCGAAUUUCAAAAACCUUUUUCUUUUCUGCAAAGAAAAGAGGAAACCAAGUCACAUUGGAGAGUUUUCUCUUCAUUCUUAGUGUUUGAUGAAAACUUUUUUCUUUUAGAAAAAAGGACGAGUCGAGCACGUUAAAUCAACUUUUUUUAUUUUACCCAUUUACAAACUGCUAUAGACUGAUAUUAACAUCUUAAAAAUUUAAUUUAAGAACAACUCUUAGCAACGGAUAUCUUGGCUCUC
rnacentral:misc_RNA from 1 species